rnacentral:rRNA from 1 species
UACGUAGGGACCAAGCGUUGUUCGGAUUUACUGGGCGUAAAGGGCGCGUAGGCGGCAUGACAAGUCACUUGUGAAAUCUCCGGGCUUAACUCGGAACGGCCAAGUGAUACUGUCGCGCUAGAGUGCAGGAGGGGCAAUCGGAAUUCUUGGUGUAGCGGUGAAAUGCGUAGAUAUCAAGAGGAACACCUGAGGUGAAGACGGGUUGCUGGGCUGACACUGACGCUGAGGCGCGAAAGUGUGGGGAUCAAACAGG